rnacentral:rRNA from 1 species
UACAGAGGUCCCAAGCGUUGUUCGGAUUCAUUGGGCGUAAAGGGUGCGUAGGCGGGUCUUUAAGUCAGGGGUGAAAUCCUGGAGCCCAACUCCAGAACUGCCUUUGAUACUGAGGGUCUUGAGUUCGGGAGAGGUGAGUGGAACUGCGAGUGUAGAGGUGAAAUUCGUAGAUAUUCGCAAGAACACCAGUGGCGAAGGCGGCUCACUGGCCCGAUACUGACGCUGAGGCACGAAAGCGUGGGGAGCAAACAGG